rnacentral:tRNA from 1 species
GGGCCCGUGACUCAGUCUGGUAGAGUACCCGGCUCUUAACCGGGCGGUCGAGGGUUCGAAUCCCUCCGGGCCCGCCA